AUACGUAGGGUGCAAGCGUUGUUCGGAAUUACUGGGCGUAAAGCGCGCGUAGGCGGGUUUUUAAGUCGAUUGUGAAAUCCCAGGGCUCAACCCUGGACGUGCAGUCGAAACUGGAAAUCUUGAAUACUUGAGAGGUUGGGGGAAUUCCCGGUGUAGGAGUGAAAUCCGUAGAUAUCGGGAGGAACACCCGAGGCGAAGGCGCCCAACUGGUGAUGUAUUGACGCUGAGGCGCGAAAGCAUGGGGAGCAAACAGGAUUAGAAACCCCGGUAGUCC
rnacentral:rRNA from 1 species